GUUUAUUGUCUUUCUCCUUAGGUUUAAUUUCUGCAACAAAAGGAGGAAGAAGAAAUCGAAGCAUGAGGAACCUAUCUAGAGAGAGAACUAGAAUCAACUCAACGAAGGGGGAGAAGAAGCUCCGCCGCAUCCUCCGGAUGCUUCACGCCCUACCCCAAUACCAUCAAGGAGAAUGCUUGAAACGACGACUCCAUCAAACUGUAUUGCUAAUUAAUUCAUAGAAUGGAACCCAUUAAACAGGAACUACACUAAACCUAAAACAUGGUCGGUUCUUUCCGUUAAUGGAAAUUUACUUAUUCAACUUCAACUCUAAUCUUUAACAAAAUCAGAUUCAGGCUUAUGCAGAACUACUCCAGUAAGAUGGCACAAGGAUACAAGCAUGGUUCUUCUUCAGUUGUAAGGAUGGUGUAAAUGUGAAAUUAACUGCACCACUCCUCUAUUUAUUCGUUGAUUGAUUAUGUUCAUCCAGAAGUUGUGCUCAAGACUUUCUUCUGCACCGACAAAUUUAGGUCUUCAGAGGCUAAUAGGGGAGCAUAAGCCAUGUUCUCGAUGACGAUAAAUUAACUAUGAGAACAGUGGUAGACACACAAUGGGAUUUUCAUGUUGAUGAGCGUAUGCAGGUUCCUAACUAUUACUCAAUGGUGAUAUGAACGGAAAAAUGACGCUUGCUCAUGUGGCAAUUGCGCAAGGGAUUUCAGUAUGCCAGCACGAAGAUACAGUCAGAAUACCUAGGGAACUCUGGGUUUCUGUAGAUCAAUGUGGACCUCUUCUCAUGAUGAGCUUGCUGCCGUCAGAUCCUGUUAAUGGAAAUUUAGGAGUCGAAGUUUAUAACAUUGAUUUAGGAGGCAAAGUAUAAUUACAAAGACGAAGCAGAGGAAUGGAAAAACAAGAAUUAUGGAAGCUCGAUGCAAAGGGGUUCUAUGGAGAACACAAUCUUUGGAUGUCAAACCUACUGCAAUGUUCUACAGUACUGGGUCUCAAGGUGGUGGUCAGGAAAGAAUUGCGAACUCACAUCCCUAAUAAGGAAGAAACAAUUUUUGUUGGCCUGAGGCGGCUCUUUGUUGUCUUUGAAAAUGUGUGGAAGCUGUUAUUCAUUGCAGCUUCUUUACACCGUGAGUUGUCUCUUGCAUCCACCACACCUCUCAAGGUCCAAAGCAAUUUUUACUGACUGCUUCAACUUAUCUCUUCCCAAAAUAGGGACAAGUUUAGUAGGUGCAGCGAUCGCAAGAUUAAGGUUGAGUUCAACAGGCCAUGUAGCCUUUAUAAUGCUAAGAUUCUCCUUCAAGAUCCUAUGGAAGGGUUAUAUUCAGUGUUGAACCAGCAAUAAGAUCCUUGCAUGUAAGUUAUCUUUCUGAAGAUCGGGUAUGAAAUUAUAAUUGAUACUUUUAUAUGUUUUUAGCCAGCACCUGAUACGUAUACCUUAUGUUAUCCAUGUAUAAGUUCUUUUAUACAUCUAAAGCAUUUCUAAAUAGCUAUAAUGUUCAACUGAAGAUAUAUCAUUGUAUUCUUCAUCAUGUUUAAUUUGAAGGGGAUGGUGGCUUAAUUUUUUUUAUAUGAAAGAGAUGUUGCGAGGAGCUUUCUGUGACCCGUGCUUUAUUUGUGUUGUUUAUGUUGUAUACGGAAGGUUGCUGCUUGCUUUUACACCGAUUUGUAAAUCCUGGCAAGACUACCACAAUGAGCAUGCCGGGGAUCCUUCUUUUUAAAUUUUUUUAUUUAGUGUUUUCGGUGUCAUUUUGAAUGCGUGUGGUCAGGGCAAGUGAUAAAUGCCCGAAAGAGAGGAGAAAGAUAAUUUAUGGGUUUGAUUUUCCACACGUUACUCUUAAUGAAUACAAGAAGAACGUUUUACUUUAGCUUCCUAAUUAAAACUCAGUUGUUGUCUGAUUUAUUUUAGGAAUACUCGAGGAACUAUAAGCAUCUACAUGAGUUUGAAGCUCACAGCUGCUUAUUAAACUCAGUUGGGGGGUUGAUUUUCAACACAUUACCCUUAAUGAAUACAAGUCGAGCGGUUUACUUUAGCUCCCUAAUUAAACUCAGUCGUUGUCUGAUUUAUUUUAGGAAUACUCGAGGAACUACAGGCAUCCACAUGAGUUUGAAGCUCACAGCUGCUUAUUAAACUCAGUUGGGGUUGAUUUUCAACAUGUUACCCUUAAUGAAUACAAGCAGAACAUGCAAUCAAUAGUCCCCUUCAUUUAGGUCUUACUUCUCUCCCUUUUCUGUCUAUAAUUAUUUCAUUGUCCCACAGUCAGUUAUGAAAUGGUACACAUGCGAUGUUUCAGUAUUUUUCUUGAUGCUUCUAUCUCUUCUCUGACUACCUAUUUUGUUUGAUUAUCUAGAAUUCGUCCAUGGUUAAUGUUUCUGCCUCACGUGGAAGAAAUAAUAAAACUCUGCAGACUAGAAUUUUUUUUCCAGUUGGAUUACACAUUCAGAUAACGUUAAUUUCUGUAGGAUAAUGAGUUGAAGCUUUGCUUAAAAAACAAAAGUUGGUUAGACAUCUUGCAGUUGGCUUUGCUUCUUUUAAAACUAUCUACCAGCACCAUUGCUUGAAAGGGGUAGUGGUGCACUGUUCUCCUCAUUUGCAAUAAAAUCCCGAAUUGGGAGUUUACAGAUUUGGGCUUUGCAUGGACUUCUUUUGACCAUAGAUGCUGCCGGCUUAUUUUAUGUGUCAUUGUGUCCCAAGUGCAGGCGACUCUCUUACUUGUUGUGGAAUUUACACGUCUGAUGAAACUGGAUGGGUUGAGCUCCGACAAGGGAUAUGGCGCCUUAUAAAUCCUAUCUCUACCUCCCUUGAUUAUGAAAUGCUGCAAGGUUCUUUACUUUCUUUAAACUAUGGAACUGUGGCGCAAUGGUGGCGCAUCUGACUUCAAGUCAGAAGGUUACCUGUUCGAUUCACGUCAGGUCCAAUCACCGGUAUUAUGCUUCUUUUCUUGCGGUAUAUUUGGUGAUAAUGCGAAAGUCUCCAAACUCAUUUAAGUUGAUUCACAUAUAGGAGGGGAACGAAAUGCAAAUCCAAACUAAUUAAUCAAUUUUACUACCAAAAUGAGGAAUAAUAAUUGUGGGAUUGCUGAAACUUUUAGGCAUUAUAUGCAUCUUUGAAUUAUAAAAUCAUCAAGAUGCUAUCUGGCUAUAGGAGUUUCGUUAUUGGCUCGAUAAUGAACUAGAUAUUAUAUUUAACUUCGACAGUCUAUAAAAGGUUA